CAGCAGCAUCCUCCUCGGCAGGAAACACCAACUCCUUCAGAACGUGGAGGAAAGGGGGCGUGCUCAAGAACUGCCAUCCGAGUCUGGAUUGGGGCUUCACUGCUUUCUUUGCCCUGUGCUUUUUGGCACCUCUCAGUGUGAUUGCUGGGGAAGAGUGGAACAGGGGUGAAAAGCAUCGGCUUUGGAGUCAGGCAGACACGUGGACUUUCCUGCCCAUAUGAGGUUCUGGCUGGGGAACCAUUCAAAGGCCCAUUCAGAAGGACACCUCAGCCUUG